rnacentral:rRNA from 1 species
UACAGAGGGUGCAAGCGUUAAUCGGAAUUACUGGGCGUAAAGGGUGCGUAGGUGGUUGAAUUAGUUAGGUGUGAAAGCCCCGGGCUUAACCUGGGAAUUGCGCCUAAUACUGUUUAGCUAGAGUACUGUAGAGGAAGGUGGAAUUUCCGGUGUAGCGGUGAAAUGCGUAGAUAUCGGAAGGAACAUCAGUGGCGAAGGCGACUUUCUGGACAGAUACUGACACUGAGGCACGAAAGCAUGGGGAGCAAACAGG